GGGUGCGAUCAUACCAGCAAUAAUGCACCGGAUCCCAUCAGAAUCCGAAGUUAAGCUUGCUUGGGCGGAGCAGUACUAGGAUGGGUGACCUCCUGGGAAGUCCUCGUGUUGCACCCCUC
rnacentral:rRNA from 1 species